UCAAGCGAAGAAGAGCGCAGGGUGGAUGCCUUGGCACUAAGAGCCGAUGAAAGACGUGAUAAGCUGCGAAAAGUCACGGGGAGGAGCAAAUAUCCUUUGAUCCGUGAAUGUCUGAAUGGGGAAACCCACAUGAGAAUACCUCAUGUAUCCAUACGCCAAUCCAUAACGUAUGGAAGGGAACCCGGUGAACUGAAACAUCUAAGUAGCCGGAGGAAGAGAAAGAAAAAUCGAUUUCCAAAGUAGCGGCGAGCGAAAUGGAAAGAGCCCAAACCGGAGUGCGUGCAUUCCGGGGUUCGGACCGCAUAAUUGAUUCAGUAAAUCCAGCAGAACUGUUUUGGGAAAGCAGACCAGAGAGGGUGAAAGUCCCGUAAGCGAAAGAAGAGCUGACAUGGCGGUAUCCAGAGUACAUCGAGACACGAGAAACCUUGAUGGAAUAAGCGGGGACCACCCCGUAAGGCUAAAUACUACUUAGUGACCGAUAGCGCAUAGUACUGUGAAGGAAAGGUGAAAAGGACCCCGGGAGGGGAGUGAAAGAGAACCUGAAACCCUGUGUUUACAAGCUGUGGAAGCACUUUAUAUGUGCGACCGCGUACUUUUUGUAGAACGGUCCGGCGAGUUACGCUUACUGGCGAGGUUAAGGACUUAAGGUCCGGAGCCGAAGGGAAACCAAGUCUUAACAGGGCGGUUAUAGUCAGUAGGAGUAGACCCGAAACCGGGUGAUCUAUCCAUGUCCAGGUUGAAGAUGCCGUAAAAGGCGUUGGAGGACCGAACCCACAUCCGUUGAAAAGGGUGGGGAUGAGGUGUGGAUAGGGGAGAAAUUCCAAUCGAACCCGGAGAUAGCUGGUUCUCCUCGAAAUAGCUUUAGGGCUAGCCUCGUUUUAGUCUUGUGGAGGUAGAGCACUGAAUUUCCGCGGGGGCGUCAAAGCUUACCAAAGAAUAUCAAACUCCGAAUGCCAUUAAGAUGAUGAACGGGAGUCAGACUGUACGAGAUAAGUUGGACAGUCAAAAGGGAAAGAGCCCAGACCACCAGCUAAGGUCCCAAAGUGUGUGUUAAGUGGAAAAGGAUGUGGGGAUUCAAAGACAACUAGGAUGUUGGCUCAGAAGCAGCCAUUCAUUCAAAGAGUGCGUAACAGCUCACUAGUCGAGAGUCCCUGCGCCGAAAAUGUCCGGGGCUGAAACACAACACCGAAGCUGUGGAAUCAUACCUAGUAUGAUUGGUAGAGGAGCAUUCUUAAGACCGACGAAGCUGUACCGAUAAGGAGCAGUGGAGGGAUAAGAAGAGAGAAUGCCGGAAUGAGUAGCGAGAGGAAGGUGAGAAUCCUUCCGGCCGAAUAUCCAAGGAUUCCAGGGUAAAGCUGAUCUGCCCUGGGUAAGUCGGGACCUAAGGAGAGGCCGAGAGGCGUAUCCGAUGGACAACAGGUUUAGAUUCCUGUACCACAUAUGGUCAGAACUGUGGGGACGCAGAAGGAAAGCAUGAGCCAGGAAUGGAAAGACUGGUACAAGCAGAGGGGAUGGUGUGCUGGCAAAUCCGCACACGAAAGUCCUUGCUGUGAUGUGGAGCGAACCAAAGUAGCGAAGCAUGCGGACCGGCUGCCGAGAAAAGCCGCUAUUGUGCCAUAUGUGCCCGUACCGUAAACCGACACAGGUGGAUGAGGAGAGAAUCCUAAGGCCGACGGAAGAAGUAUUGUUAAGGAACUCGGCAAAAUGACCCCGUAACUUCGGGAGAAGGGGUGCCUGAGAAAUCAGGCCGCAGAGAAUAGGCUCAAGCAACUGUUUAGCAAAAACACAGGUCUAUGCAAAACCGAAAGGUGAAGUAUAUGGGCUGACGCCUGCCCGGUGCUGGAAGGUUAAGAGGAGAGGUUAGCGCAAGCGAAGCUUUGAAUUUAAGCCCCAGUAAACGGCGGCCGUAACUAUAACGGUCCUAAGGUAGCGAAAUUCCUUGUCGGGUAAGUUCCGACCCGCACGAAAGGCGUAAUGAUUUGAGCACUGUCUCG
rnacentral:rRNA from 1 species